GGCUGGGCCCUGCGCGGCGUAGGUCGGUGAACCGGGUCAGGGCCGGAAGGCAGCAGCCCUCAGCCGCUUCCUACGGGUGCCGCAGUAAGCCUGGCCGUC
rnacentral:SRP_RNA from 1 species